ACUUUUAAAGGAUAAUAGCAAUCCAUUGGUCUUAGGAACCAAAAAUUCUCGGUGCAACCCCAAGUAAAAGUU
rnacentral:tRNA from 1 species